rnacentral:rRNA from 1 species
UACGGGAGUGGCAAGCGUUAUCCGGAAUUAUUGGGCGUAAAGCGUCCGCAGGCGGUCUUGUAAGUCUGUUGUUAAAGCGUGGAGCUUAACUCCAUUUCAGCAAUGGAAACUGUAAGACUAGAGUGUGGUAGGGGCAGAGGGAAUUCCCGGUGUAGCGGUGAAAUGCGUAGAUAUCGGGAAGAACACCAGCGGCGAAGGCGCUCUGCUGGGCCAUAACUGACGCUCAUGGACGAAAGCCAGGGGAGCGAAAGGGAUUAGAUACCCCUGUAGUCCUGGCCGUAAACGAUGAACACUAGGUGUCGGGGGAAUCGACCCCCUCGGUGUCGUAGCCAACGCGUUAAGUGUUCCGCCUGGGGAGUACGCACGCAAGUGUGAAACUCAAAGGAAUUGACGGGGGCCCGCACAAGCGGUGGAGUAUGUGGUUUAAUUCGAUGCAACGCGAAGAACCUUACCAGGGUUUGACAUCCUGCGAAUCUUUUGGAAACGAGAGAGUGCCUUCGGGAACGCAGUGACAGGUGGUGCAUGGCUGUCGUCAGCUCGUGUCGUGAGAUGUUGGGUUAAGUCCCGCAACGAGCGCAACCCACGUCGUUAGUUGCCAGCAUUUAGUUGGGCACUCUAGCGAGACCGCCGGUGAUAAACCGGAGGAAGGUGUGGAUGACGUCAAGUCAUCAUGCCCCUUACAUCCUGGGCUACACACGUACUACAAUGCUACGGACAAAGGGCAGCAAACUCGCGAGAGCUAGCAAAUCCCAUAAACCGUGGCUCAGUUCAGAUCGUAGGCUGCAACUCGCCUACGUGAAGGAGGAAUCGCUAGUAAUCGCAGGUCAGCAUACUGCGGUGAAUACGUUCCCGGGCCU